rnacentral:rRNA from 1 species
GCCUACGGGGGGCAGCAGUAGGGAAUCUUCCACAAUGGGCGAAAGCCUGAUGGAGCAACGCCGCGUGGGUGAAGAAGGUCUUCGGAUCGUAAAACCCUGUUGUUAGAGGAGAAAGUGCGUGAGAGUAACUGUUCACGUUUCGACGGUAUCUAACCAGAAAGCCACGGCUAACUACGUGCCAGCAGCCGCGGUAAUACGUAGGUGGCAAGCGUUAUCCGGAUUUAUUGGGCGUAAAGGGAACGCAGGCGGUCUUUUAAGUCUGAUGUGAAAGCCUUCGGCUUAACCGGAGUAGUGCAUUGGAAACU